GAUGUGGGCCUGACGGCCGCGCGGCGCCGUAAGGCGCCGCGAGGAAAGUCCGAGCUCCCGCCGGCGCAAGCCGGCAGCAAGGUAGCGGGUAACGCCCGUCGGGGUAAUCCCAGAGGUGCGAACAGAAACGCCUGAUGCCGAAAGGCUAAGGGGCCCGCGCUCCAGUAAGAUGGCGGCGCGGGCCAGAUCCGGAGUAAUCCGGAAGUGCAACGGCAAAAUCCUUACCCGGGUGCAAGGCCGUGCUGGUAGUGCCGCAAGGCGCACGCCAGAGAGCCGCUCGAGGCCGACGGCGACGUCGGUCCCAGAUAAAUGGUCGUCGCCCUGUCCGCAAGGAUAGGGUACAGAACUCGGCUUAUAGCCCACGAACGAU
rnacentral:RNase_P_RNA from 1 species